rfam:Ictidomys tridecemlineatus contig024168, whole genome shotgun sequence.
UGGGUUGUAGCUCAGUGGUAGAGCGCUUGCCUCACAUGCAUGGAGCACUGGGUUUGAUCCUCAGCACCACAU